AAGUCCCAAAAGCACAUAAACAAAAAGAAGAAGAAGACAAGCCCUAAUUCUUCAUUUCUUUCCCGGUCGCCAGAGUUCCCUCCUCCGCAGCUCCGCCGUCUGCUGCCGUCUAACGAUUCUUCAGUCGAAUUUACGGUCUUAGGGUUUCGAUGGAGAUCUCAAAGCCCCAAUCGUUCUUCCAAGACAUCAGAUUCAGAGAGCUCCACGGAUUCAGAGCUCGGAAGCGGCCGUACGUCAAUGGACUAGCAUCGGAUUUCUACGAAAUUGGCGCCAUUGCUGCAGAGCACAACGGCCCUCCGAUGGCAAUCUCGUUCGGCAAGACUUGGAAAAGCUCACACAUCGUCGCCAUGUCCGAUGAGGAUGGGUACUUGAGCCUGUUCAAUACACGGCGCAAAUUCUGUGCAUCUGCAUCUCACCAAGAAAAUGCAGAUAAAACUAAGGUUUGCGAUUGGGUUGCACAUCAUAACACUGUGUUCGAUAUCUGUUGGAUUAAGGAUGAUACUCAAAUUAUGACAGCUUCCGGCGAUCAGACUAUCAAGGUAUGGGAUAUUCAGGAAAAGAAAUGUACCGCUGUACUGAUGGGGCACACAGGAAGUGUGAAAUCUCUGUGUCCUCAUCCAACUAAUCCUGAGGUUAUAGUCUCUGGUUCGAGAGAUGGCUCCUUUGCUCUUUGGGAUAUGAGAUGUAAUUCAAGCUCCAAAAAUAUGCAGGGGGAGGUUUCUAUAUGCUCAACUGCAGUGGUUACAGGGGCUCAUAUUGUUCCACGGGCAAAGCGUGUAAGGCGUGGAAAGGCUGUUUCCAUGAGCAUCACAUCAGUUCUUUAUCUUAAGGAUGAGGUCUCCAUUGCUACCGCCGGAGCUGUGGACAGCAUUGUCAAGUUUUGGGAUACCAGAAGUUUGAAAAAUGUUGUCACACAGACAUGCCCUCAACCAGAGUCAACUGAGAAGGAAAGACGAUUACACGGUAUAACUAGCUUAUCCCAAGAUUUAAAUGGAGUGUUUCUUUCAGCGUCAUGCAUGGACAACAGCAUAUAUUUGUAUAACGUACUUCAGCUACAAAAGGGUCCUAUGCAAGCGUUCACCGGAUGCCGGAUUGAAACAUUUUUUGUUAAGUCAGUUAUUAGCCCCGAUGCUGCUCGCAUAGUCAGUGGCUCGAGCGAUGGAAAUGCCUAUAUUUGGCAGGUAAACAAGCCUCAGGAGGAUCCCGUUGUAUUGAAAGGCCAUGACAGGGAAGUUACAGCAGUAGAGUGGUCCCAGUUUGAGGUCGGGAAGAUGGCGACGUCGUCAGAUGAUUUUACGGUUCGCAUUUGGAACUCUCAGAAAAGUUACUCCCCAAGCACAAGCUCACCAUCUACCGUUCGAAGAAGAGUUAUGGCAAUCCCAAGCGCUGAGUGUAGAAAGCUUCUGAUGAGUGAAUCAACGAUGCAUACCUCAAAGGUUUCCAGAAAUUUGUGUCCGUCAGAUGAAGGAUUAGACGAAACCAACUCACUAAAUCCGAUUAGUAUGCCCAAAAUGAGUACUCCCCCGUCACAGAAGAAACAAUCCAUGUCGGAUCCUGACUUUAGCAAGACCUUCGAGAAGACCCCCGAAGCUGCAUCUGAGAGCCCGUCUUCUGUUCUGAACCCUCCCUCCUCCCUAAAAAGGAAAACAAUCCGUGAUUACUUUGGAGUACCUCCCUUAAACUUGUAGGCUCUCUUUUUCCUUGGGCUUAUUGUACAUAGUGCUGACAUUCCCUCUGAGUCUACUGCUUCAUAACUGGAUGCAUCAACCCUGCUUUCAGAUUAUUUCAACCGUUUCUAUAUGGAAUGUAAAGCGCAUACAGAAAGAUUUUUACGGUGAAAAUAUCACUCUCAUCGCAUUGUAUUUUUGUGCCAUAAGUAACUGGGUGUGAUUCCAAAUACAGUUUUAGAUGCUUACUUAGCAAAUCUGAUGAGUUCUUACGCAUAGUCA